GCAAUGCCGCGUGGGGGAUGAAGGCCCUCGGGUCGUAAACCCCUGUCAGAGGGGACGAAAAACAUGACGGUACCCUCAGAGGAAGCCACGGCUAACUACGUGCCAGCAGCCGCGGUAACACGUAGGUGGCGAGCGUUAUUCGGAUUUACUGGGCGUAAAGGGUCCGCAGGGGGUUUGCCAAGUCCGGUGUGAAAGUCCGGGGCUCAACCCCGGAACUGCGCCGGAUACUGGUGAACUUGAGUGCGCGAGGGGCAGGCGGAAUUCCUGGUGUAGCGGUGGAAUGCGUGGAUAUCAGGAAGAACACCGACGGCGAAAGCGGCCUGCUGGCGCGCGACUGACCCUGAUGGACGAAAGCGUGGGUAGCGAACAGGAUUAGAUACCCUGGUAGUCCACGCCGUAAACGGUGCAGACCCGAUGCGGGGGGUUUUCCCUCCGUGUCCAAGCCAACGCGUUAAGUCUGCCGCCUGGGGACUACGGUCGCAAGGCUAAAACUCAAAGGAAUUGACGGGGGCCCGCACAAGCGGUGGAGCAUGUGGCUCAAUUCGAGGCAACGCGAAGAACCUUACCCGGGCUUGACAUAUAUCCGCCCGUCCGUGAAAGCGGACCUUCCCUUCGGGGACGGAUAUACAGGUGCUGCAUGGCUGUCGUCAGAUCGUGCCGUGAGGUGUUCGGUUAAGUCCGGCAACGAGCGCAACCCGUAUUGUCAGUUGCCAUCAGGUCAUGCUGGGCACUCUGGCGAGACCGCCCGUGUCAAGCGGGAGGAAGGCGCGGACGACGUCAAGUCCGUAUGGCCCUUACGCCCGGGGCUGCACACGUGCUACAAUGGACGGCACAGCGGGAAGCGAAGCCGCGAGGCGGAGCGAAUCCCGAAAACCGUCCCCAGUUCGGAUCGGAGUCUGCAAUUCGACUCCGUGAAGUCGGAAUCGCUAGUAAAGGCGCAUCAGCAACGGC
rnacentral:rRNA from 1 species